rnacentral:rRNA from 1 species
AAGAGGCUAAACCGAGAGGAGCAAUCCUUUCGGGGUUUAGGACUGCAUUUAGUACAGCAAUUGUUAACCGAACAGCAUGGGAAGGCUGAUCAAAGAAGGUGAGAAUCCUGUAGGUGAAAACGAAAGUUGACGAGCAGUAUCCAAAGUACCGCGGGGCACGUGAAAUCCCGUGGAAAGAUGGGGGGACCAUCCUCCAAGCCUAAAUACUACCUGAUGACCGAUAGCGAAUAGUACUGUGAAGGAAAGGUGAAAAGCACCCCGGGAGGGGAGUGAAAGAGAACCUGAAACCCUGUGCUUACAAGCACUUAGAGCACGUCAAAGUGUGAUAAGGUACCUAUUGUAGAAUGGUCCGGCGAGUUAUUGUAUGCAGCGAGGUUAAGUAGUUCAGCUACGGAGCCGAAGUGAGAGCGAGUGUUAACAGCACGUUCAGUUGCAUGCAAUAGACCCGAAACCGGGUGACCUAUCCAUGUCCAGGAUGAAGUGAGGGUAAAACCUCAUGGAGGUCCGAACCCACUCCCGUUGAAAUGGUAGGGGAUGAGGUGUGGAUAGCGGAGAAAUUCCAAUCGAACCCGGAUAUAGCUGGUUCUCCCCGAAAUAGUUUUAGGACUAGCCUCGUGAUUAAGAUUAUCGGAGGUAAAGCACUGAAUGGCCUAGGGGUCGAGAGAUUACCGAAGCCUAUCAAACUCUGAAUGCCGAAUAAUCAUGCACGGGAGUCAGACUGUGUGAGAUAAGUUUCAUAGUCGAAAGGGAAACAGCCCAGACCUACAGCUAAGGUCCCAAAGUACGUUUAAGUGGAAAACGAUGUGAAAUUGCGUAGACAACCAGGAUGUUGGCUUAGAAGCAGCCAUACAUUAAAAGAGUGCGUAAUAGCUCACUGGUCGAGUGACUUUGCGCGGAAAAUUUAACGGGGCUAAAACGUACACCGAAGCUUAGGCUUGCAACUAUGUUGCAGGGGUAGGGGAGCGUUGAAUGAGGGGUGAAGUCGUAGCGAAAGCGACGGUGGACUUCAUUCAAGUGAGAAUGCCGGAAUGAGUAGCGAGAAUUAUGUGAGAAUCAUAAUGGCCGAAAGCCUAAGGUUUUUGGAGGAAGGUUCGUCCGCUCCAAGUAAGUCGGAAGCUAAGGUGAGGCUGAAAAGCGUAGCCGAUGCACAAACGGUUGAAAUUCCGUUACCACAGAAAGAUUUAAACUAAGGGACACUUUUGAAGAGCUGAUGCCGGGUGUUGGUUACCCCGGUCGUAAGGGAACGAAAUUAAGUAGUGAAGUCAGCGUGGAUGAAGGCGAGAAAAGCUUAGUGUAUAUCUUAUGUGUCCGUACCGCAAACCGACACAGGUAGGUAGGAAGAGAAUUCUAAGGCCAACGGGAGAAGGGUAGUUAAGGAACUCGGCAAAAUGUCCCCGUAACUUCGGAAUAAGGGGAGGUUUCUACGGAAACCCGCAGAGAAUAGUCCCAGGCAACUGUUUAUCAAAAACACAGCUCUAUGCUAAAUCGAAAGAUGACGUAUAUGGGGUGACGCCUGCCCGGUGCCGGAAGGUUAAGAGGAGGAGUGAGAGCCCUGAAUCGAAGCCCCGGUAAACGGCGGCCGUAACUAUAACGGUCCUAAGGUAGCGAAAUUCCUUGUCAGGUAAGUUCUGACCCGCACGAAUGGCGUAAUGAUCUGGGAGCUGUCUCAACUGCCCGCCCGGCGAAAUUGUAGUACCGGUGAAGAUGCCGGUUACCCGCGACUAGACGGAAAGACCCCAUGGAGCUUUACUGUAGCUUAAUAUUGGAUUUCGGCAUUUCAUGUACAGGAUAGGUGGGAGACUAGGAAACAUAGGCGUCAGCUUAUGCGGAGUCGUCCUUGGGAUACCACUCUUGGAGUGCUGAAAUUCUAACCUGCAGCCCUGAAUCGGGUUGGGGGACAUUGUUAGGUGGGCAGUUUGACUGGGGCGGUCGCCUCCAAAAAGGUAACGGAGGCGCUCAAAGGUUGGCUCAGCAUGGAUGGAAACCAUGCCAUAGAGUGCAAACGCAAAAGCCAGCCUGACUGCGAGACUGACGGGUCGAGCAGAAACGAAAGUUGGAGUUAGUGAUCCGGCGGUAUGUGAAUGGAAAUGCCGUCGCUCA